GUCAGCACACAUACAAACUACAACUGUCAAAGUGUGAUUCAUUAUGCUCUUUUUGUUUACUACUAGCGCAUGCUGAUGGCAUUAUAUUUUUCUAUAGUAACAUGCUUCGUAGCCUUUGAUUGGGAUUGGGAAAUGCUGCGAUAAGGCAAGAAGUAGGACCCGUGUAAAUAUCGGAUCAGCUUUCCAGCACUGGAGAGAACUAAUGGGGCAGGAAGGCCUGCAAUCGGACACUGAGGUUGCUUUGUUUCUUCUUGAUAUUGGAUGGCACAGAAGAUUCCGCUAUAAUUGGUGCCGGGUUUGCAUAUCUAUGUGUGGGGCGAAGCUAUCAAAAUAGGGGUGAGACCCUUUUGGGGUAGGGGUCUCGGGGACACCAUAGUAGCCCACUAUAUGGAUAGAAAUCCUGAAAUGUUUUCCUCAAAAAACAUAAUUUCUUUACGACUGAAGAAAGAAAGACAUGAACAUCUUGGAUGAUAAGGGAGCCUGCAGCAGGCAUGUGUUUCUGUACUGAUUUGGACACUGUAUUGCUAAACAGCUGGAGUUCCGCAGAAGAAAAGGGGUGGAGAGGGAACAGAAGAAUUCUAAAAGGAAAGGAAGAAAAUAAUCUGAAAGAAACCAGAGGAUGCUACUUCUCUUAGAUCAUCUCAGAAACCCUAAAAAGAAACCCCAAACUGCAAAGUAACUAAACACUGAUUUGAUGGCCUACCUCUACAAUAAAGGAAUAUAAGGAAUAUAAUACCAGUGAUCAGCUUCCUCUGCAUGUUCUCCCAUGAUGCAUGCUGUGUCUUGGCACGGAAACCUAUUGGAGUUCUACCAAGGACAACGCAUUGCUUUAAUGAUGCUUUUAACUUUCAUUGAUGUAGUAAAAUAUAACUAGGCUGAAAAUGAAUAUACUUUAGCAAAAUAGGAGUCAUGGAAACUCAGUUUCUCUGCUGUUUUUUAACAGGAUAGUUCACCCAAAAAUGAAAAUUCUGUCGUUA